UUAUCCCCUGCGUCAAGUCAACUAACCUC
rnacentral:piRNA from 1 species